ACAGGAACGUGAACCUUAGGCAACACAACACACCCAUCAACAAACAUCACUAUCCAUUUCCGUUCAAGGAUGCAAUGUAUGAGAGCUUUGUAGAACAAGAUGUGGAGGAGACAACCCACUACGCGUGGGUUCCCAUGAAGGUUGAUCAAGGUGUUCAUCGUCCGGCUGGAAGACGUUAAAGCAAGCGUUUUAAGGGAGGCAACCCAUUUAUUCUGCUUGAUUGUCAAUUUUAUUACUUGUUUAAUUAUUUUUGGUUGUGACUUUCUAUUUUGAAACAUUAACAAAUAUGCAAAGGAUUUUAACAUUAAACUUCAUGGAAAUGAACAGCAAACUGGGAAAUAAAGAAACAUAGCAUAAUACAAGAGGGAGCCUUCACAAAGGCUGCUUGGGAGAGGUCGCAGUAGUCGGCGGAGUUGCAGUAGUCGGCGGAGUCUCAGCAGUCGGUGGGGCCACGGAAGGAGGAGGUAUCGGAGGUUGAUCAGUUGAAGCUUCACUACGCGGUGCCGCCCCAGAAGACGAAGGCAGAUGCUGUUGGAACAAACCCACAAACCUCCGGUGAUCAAGUAAAAUCUAACCAUCAGUUUCCUGCAGCUGGUCAAUUUUCC
rnacentral:lncRNA from 1 species